UGCAGAUAACAUACAUAACUUUCCACAUUACAAUUCUCCAGAAACUUAUAUUGACGUGAUGGGAGGUGAAAUUGCAAGACCCUCUUGUUUAUGGACAAUAAAAGACCAACACUCCACUUCCACUUUUUAUGAGAAAUUUACUGCCAGAAAAGUGGACCCCCAUCUGAAGAUAAACUGCUAGGAAACAUAAGAAAUUUAUGAAAAUGGAUCACUGUAGUAAAUAUCUACUCAUGUAGUUGGAGCUUACAAUAUCAGCCUUAAAAAUAAGUUCCUGUGUUGUGAAGAAUAAGAAAACAAGAUUAUUAUACAACUUAAAGUUUUGGACAUAACCUAUCAAAUACUGAAUGUGUAACAUAAAAAAAAAACUGGUUCAAUAUGCCUCACAACUGGAAUCAUUGAAUCGACUGUAUAGCUGACAUUCUUAAACAGGCAUGACGAGGGACAAACAAGAAUAUAUAAAACGAAAGAAAGACGUAUGAAAUUAACAUCAUGAUAAGAAAAGUAAGAGGAAGAAAUGUUUGUACUGUUGUGAGCUUAUGACAACAUCAAGUUAAGCAAGUAUCUUUGAUGUUUGGUCUACCUAGUUUGAAAAGCACAGAAAAUAUACCUCGACACACCCAACAUUUUGGCCAAUUGUACAGGUGGCGCCAGAACAUUAACCUGGAAUCUACCACUUAAAUUAUACAAAACAAACUCAUUCAUAUAAAUAUUUAUCAACAGAAAUAAAGUAAAAAAUUUAAUUUACA
rnacentral:lncRNA from 1 species